UUGCCGGGUGCUCGUCGCAGGUGCCGUCCCGGGCUGGCGGUGCCGCCGGGCGCAGGAAGCGCUGCAGCUGCCGGGGAGUUGGAGACGCGUUUCUUUGGGAAGCUGUAGUACACAAAGCUCUUUAAUAACCGUAUUCAUCUAAAGGCUACAUCAAUGGCAGUAGUACUGCCUGUUCCCUGUUGAAUGCCAGUUAGUGGGGAACGCUGUUAUUAACAUUUAACAGGAGCUCCGGGUCACCUUGAUAUAAUCAAGCUAACACACAUUUUAAUGGCUGUUUAAUUAGAUUUACCAUAGGGAGGAUGCCUUGUAAGAAAGUUGCAUUUCUAAUUUCGGAGCCUGAGAUGGCAACUGGAUUAAAUAAAAAUGCAAAUAAAAUAUUGCAAGUAAUAGACAAAGGCUAAUUUGUUUUCCCUGUUCAGCAUCAUUUGUCGCUGUGGUUUGAACAGACGUAUCUGUUGUUUCCUCUUUGCAGGUGUGGCCCCCCCCCGCAGUGCUGGGUGAUGUCGCCUUUAGCCCACAACGAAAUCGGAGGCAUCCGUCAAGGGGCGAUUUUGCUCCUGGGUGACCUGGUCUUUGAGCACCUUGCUGCGAGGCUCCCCUUAAAUCACGGGUGGGAGCUGAGCCCUCGCGCUUUCAGCGGGGCUGAGACAGGAGAGGAAUACGCCUGGUUUCCAGGGCAGUUUCCCAACGCCAUGGCAAGCCCGUGUCCCUGCUUCAGAGGAAAAACAGCCCGUGUCCAACUCCUACCAGUUCUGACACCUUCGUGGGUGUGCGAGAGACUCGGAGGAGCGUUUUGUGGAACUGCCAGUUGUGCCUGCGUAGAAAAUAAAAGGUUGAAGCAUAUCGCUGUAAAAGAUUUGACACUUCUCUCAAUGGAUUUAUGGAAAAGACCCCUAGAGUAGAGAGUUAUAAAAUCUGAUCAAGUCAGUGGUUCCAGCUGUGUAAUUGAUAUCCAUUACUUUCUAUUGACUGCUGUGUAGGACUUCAUUUUCUGUAGCAUCAACAAAAUUCCCUUUCAGCCUGCUGCAGAACCGCCCUGGGGUUGGUCGGAAGACACUGCUGAUGGGCAAACAGGGAGCAUAAAUCCCAGGAGAGCACCAGGGCUUUUCCCUCAGUUGCUUCCCAUAAAUACACACCUUUAUGCUAAUCUACGCUAUUUUGUCAAUUAUUACAUUUGCAUAGGAUAUUUUACACAUACGCUAUGGCUUAGCUGCAGAUAAGAAUUGGCGCGACAGCUUCUUUUCCCAGGUGAUACAAUUUCUUCUCAUCUGCUUCAUUUUUAUGGCAAUUUUGUAUGUUUUACAGAAGGAGAAUUAUUACAGCAACAACUCUAGUGGCACAAAAUAGGCAGAGGAAAGCCGUCACCGCAGAACCCAACGUAUCCGUUUGCCGUAGGGUGACUUCCCGGGCUAGCAGCUCCGCGCCGUUCCCGGAGGGCCGCGGAGAGGAGCCUGCAAAGACCCUGCGCGAGGUUUCCUCCCCGGCGACAUGACUCCUUUUCCACGGGGGGGUUAAACGCCGCUGUGCAGGGAGGUUUUUUGCAACCGAUAUGCACAGUCCCAUACUAAAAACUAGACUGUUCUGCUAGCUUUUUUGUUUUUUUGUUUUGUUUUGUUUUUUUAACCUUUUUUCCUCAAGGACCAGUGUAGCUAUUUGCUGCUCAAUCAAUUAACAUCAAACAGCAGCAGCCGUGAAGUGUGGGUCCUUUUGAAUCGCGGUGUGCACAUUUAUCACACAUUUUCUAGAUGCAUUGCUGGAAAGGAAGGAAAUCGGCAGCAUCGGAUGGAAAAUGUGCCAGUGCGGAGCAGGGGGUUUGUGCUGUGCCGUGCAGCUCGCGGUCCCCCUUUCGCAGCGCCUUCCUGCCAGGCUGGCAGUGCGUCUGUGCCAGCCUUCUCCUGGUACUAGGCAAACCAGUCAUUUGUCCCUCUUAUUAUUUAAAGCUUUUCUGUGCUGUCGACCUCCUGCCCCUCCCCCCUGCAAAUCAUUUGCUUUUCCAGGUGCUUCACUACUAACUUGUACCGUUUUGUUUCAUUUUUUGCUCCUUAUCUCUCUUCAGGAAGGAGAGGGAUUACCUCAUUCCCGUCACCUCAGAAAUAAAUCCUCAUUAUGGAUUUGUACCUGGGGAGGAAGAAACUGAAGCCAGUUCUGAACAGGUAUUUGAAGAGGUCAAGAGCACCGGCCCGCGCCCGGGCGGGACGCCAGCAGAGCUCUGCUCCGGACGGACGGGUGCCCUUCCCCGGCGGCGAGGAGGAGGCACUGGCUGAUGCACCCGGAGGGCGAAGCGGGAGGUGGGUGAGCGGUGCCCCGAAAGCGUCAGCAGCAAGGGGUGCGUUACUGGCCGGUGCGCGGUUACCAGGUUCCGCUUGUGGGACCCCCCCGCCACCGCUCCCGCUGCGCGGGGAAGCCACGGGGAAGCGGCGCGUGUCCUCGGGGUGCCGGCGUCGCUAGGGACGCGCCUGGGCAUCGCGCCGGGAUCGCAGGAUCCUUCUGCGCCCGGCGUUGCCAUCCCGGGCGCGGGUCUCCAGCGGCAGUGAGCCAGGCCACGGCGCCCGAGCGUGGCUCCGUUCUGCCGCACGGGCCUUCCCCGAGGCUCCCGGUCGCGCGCAGCUAGGGCGAUGCGUUGAACGCCGGUGCAGGAAAGAAGUGGAUCUGGCCGGCGGCGAGCAACCGCCACAGCAUCCCGCUGAGAGGGGCCGUGUAGUUUUGAAGGUUAUUGAUCCUUUUGCCAAUUCCAGAGUAGCUUUUCGCAGUCUCAGUUAGUGCAGGUGUUUCAGUAAUUGCAGCGAACUGGCAAAGAGAAGAAACAGUAUUUCAUGAUCCUUAAGCUUGUUAAAUUUGGAGCCUGAAAAGACUCUCAAGGAAAUCACAGAAACCCCAGAUAAUAUUCUUCAGCCUGCUUUGUUAUUUCUCCAUGGAGAAAACAAGCUGGAGGAGGGAUGAAUCCCGUCGGUAAUCGCUCAAGGAAACCGUACGAGGUCGCGGAGGAGACCAGCCUGGUUUACGCUGCAGCGGAGGGAACGGCGACCGGGCGCCCUUUCCGUUUGCCAUGGGAAUACCCGCAAAGAGGCCGGAAAAGGAGGAGGUGGGGGCUUGCUGCUGCUUUGCCGCAGAAGGUGCAGAACCCGCCCGCUUUAGGAGGCUACAGAGAUGGGAGAAUUAUUUAUACGGUAACACCACAGGACAGAGGAGGGAAAGCGAAUGACAUUUUGGACAGACUGUUUCAGCUGCUAUUAUUAAAUCUGCUCUAACUUCAAAGACUAAUAUUUGGGGGAAAGGAAGCCUUGGUUAACUAUUCAGCACCUUCACGCUUUCAAUUAUUGUCACUGCUUCUAAUGCAUCAGGUUUAAGAUUUCCCAGAGGACCUGUAAGAAAGCCAGAGAAGAUCAGACGUGACAUUCUGGGCCUCUAAUAUGAAAAGCAAUUGGAAAAAUACAGAAUAAAAUAAAGCAUAGAGAGACUUCUGGUUAUACUUCAUACAUUUAUAGCAGAAUAAAGUGACACAAAAUCA